rnacentral:rRNA from 1 species
GGGCUCGCGGCCCAUCAGCUUGUUGGUAGGGUAACGGCCUACCAAGGCAACGACGGGUAGCCGACCUGAGAGGGUGACCGGCCACACUGGGACUGAGACACGGCCCAGACUCCUACGGGAGGCAGCAAGUGGGAAUAUUGUCCAAUGGGCGAAAGCCUGAGACAGCGACGCCGCGUGAGGGAUGAAGGCCUUCGGGUUGUAAACCUCUGUUGACGGGGACGCUGACGGUACCCGUCAGGAAGCCCCGGCUAACUCCGUGCCAGCAGCCGCGGUAAUACGGAGGGGGCAAGCGUUGUCCGGAUUUACUGGGCGUAAAGAGCACGUAGGCGGUCUGCUAAGUCGGCUGUGAAAGCGCUGGGCUCAACCCAGCAAUGUCAGUCGAUACUGGUAGACUUGAGUCCGGGAGAGGGAAGUGGAAUAGCUGGUGUAGCGGUGGAAUGCGUAGAU